GUGUCUGCAGCCACAACUCCAGAGAGAAGCCAUUACUCUACAGAGGACAGCAUCUAGGGUGGCCUUCAUGAGCCCCAGCUGUUGGCAUCAUCCCUUGUUGUGAUAUGGAACCUGUGACUUGCUUCUCACCAGUGGAAUAUGGCAAAGGGUCAAGCCAGCUCUCCAAGGAUCUCUCAGCCAGGGCGGACAGAAACGGAUACCCAUGUUACUGCAUGGCCCCUGAACCUGAUGGAGUAUGACCUACUGGGCAGAGCUCAGCUCAGCUACCCCAAGAAGUAAACAGCACAGAGGGAAAGAUAAACCUUCCAGGCUUUCCGAAAGCAAUUAUCAUGUGUGGUUAUCAGAAAAUUUGUAUUCACUAUCCCGGGGGAAGGAAGCAGAGAUACAAAUAAACCCAGAAUUGAUAUUUGCCUGGGGAUAAAUUACAUGACAUUGCAGGGUGGGGAGCAGAUUUUCUUUCUGGAUUACUUUCUGCACAGGCGGCCAUUAAAAUGUAUAGCUAGCCCCUGAGUGUGCAUCAGCUUGGGGCCGGGAAGCCAGACUGGAGGCCAUGGUUUGAGGGCAUAGCGCUCAUAAGGAAAUGGGAAAGUCAACUUUUGAUUUUCUUUUGUCAAGUGUUUGAGAAGGGUUUGUUACUUUCUCCAAGGCCCUGAGAGUUGAUAUCACACUCUCCCCUACAUGGUGUGGGCUGGCAACCACAAGGUGGUGACUUCCAUAGCAGGUCCUCUGAAGGGGAAGAGACAGCAGGUGGUCCCACGGACCUGCAGGAUUCUUGAGCUGCCCACGACAGCCAGUGCAUCACGCCCUCAUCUAGAAGCUUCAGCCCGGUGUUUAUGAGCUUGGCAGUAAAAACUCCACUGGUGCUCUGUGGAUAAGCAAAGCUGGUGUCCCUUCCCUUGCACACUGGCAGUGUUCGGUAGCAAGGGGUUCAAUGCUGGGGCCAUUCCUUUGUCUUGGGAAACUGUCACAGGGUAGGACGGCCAUUUCUUCAGGCUUGCUGACCCCAGGUUAACCUCACACCAGCCCAGUGGCCCCCUUCGGGGCAGUGUGGCCAGGGGGACAAUUAUCUGUGGCUUUAUCAGGCAGAUGGUGUCUGCAAUCCUCACUCUACAAUCUCAGCUGUUUGACCUUGGACAAAGCUGGCCUCACCUACUCACCCAUGAGCUGGAGGUCGCUGCGGUACCUACACCACUGGGCUGGCAUGAGGAUGAAAUUAGAAUGUACAGAGGGUGCUCAGCACACAGUGUUUGUCCAGGAAGUGGCAGCUCUCAUAAUUUUCUGUGCGUAACGAGUUAUAACAAACUCCUUUUUUUCAAGAGCACACUCUAUGUUUUCUAAAAUCUAGGAAAGAAACAAAUUGUCUUUCUCAACAGAAACCUGUGAAAACAACUCAGGGACACCCAUACCAUGAGACCCUUGCCCCGGCCAUUUGAAUAACCACAGGCUAGAGCCUUACAGCUCUUCAUCCCCAGCGUGGUACUCAUCCCAUGAAAGGCCACGUUCUACUCACAGGUGAAAUAAACUGGUUUUAAACAAUCAGCCUUACGGCAAUCUUGAGGACAAGAGAUUUGGGACAUUUCUUGGGCCACGUUUGACCUGAAGCCAGCAGGUCAUAGACUUAGGUCCCCAGUCAAACCCUUGCUCAGGUGGGAAACUCAUGCACUGCACCUGGUUCUGGUCUGUGAUCUCUCCUGGAAGCCGAGCAUCAUUUGGAAGUGUGUCUGGAGGAGGUGUUCCUUUUUUUUUUUUAAUUGAGGCAGAGUCUUGCUCUAUCGCCCCAGAGCUAGAGUGCAGUGGCACCAUCUCGGCU
rnacentral:lncRNA from 1 species